rnacentral:rRNA from 1 species
UCCGUAGGUGAACCUGCGGAAGGAUCAUUAUUGAAUAAAUUUGCCUGGGUUGUUGCUGGCUUCUUAGAAGCAUUGUGCACACCUGGCGCCAUUUUUAUUACCACCUGUGCACUUUUUGUAGAUUCUUUGGGGGAGAUACCUUUUCGAGGAAACUCGGUUUGAGGAAUUGCUGGGCUAGUCCUAGCUUUCCUUGCAUAUUCCCCUCAAAAGAUCUAUGUUUUUAUAUACUCCUAUAGUAUGUCUUAGAAUGUCAUUAAUAGGGCUUUUAUUGCCUUUAAAUUAAAUACAACUUUCAACAACGGAUCUCUUGGCUCUCGCAUCGAUGAAGAACGCAGCGAAAUGCGAUAAGUAAUGUGAAUUGCAGAAUUCAGUGAAUCAUCGAAUCUUUGAACGCACCUUGCGCUCCUUGGUAUUCCGAGGAGCAUGCCUGUUUGAGUGUCAUUUAAUUCUCAACCUUUUUCAGCUUUUUGAAGUUGGAUUAGGCUUGGAUUGUGGGGGUUGCGGGCUUCUCAGAAGUCGGCUCCUCUUAAAUGUAUUAGCAAAAUCUAUGUAGGAUUAGCUCUGGUGUGAUAAUUAUCUACAUCUUUCUAAGACUACUUUGUGGUUUAGCUUCUAAUAGUCCAUUGACUUGGACAAAUUUCUUGAUAUUUUGACCUCAAAUCAGGUAGGAUUACCCGCUGAACUUAAGCAUAUCAAUAAGCGGAGGAA